GAGCCACUUCCGGAACAGUCGGGAGCCUGCGAGACUUCCAGCCUCUGUGUAGGCUAGAGCGGCACGACGGGCCGGCGUGUGCGGCCAUGGAGGACGAGAAGAGCUUCUCCGAUAUCUGCGGCGGCCGCCUGGCCCUGCGGCGCCGCUACUAUUCACCGUACUGCCGCGAAUUCGGCCUCAGCUCGGCUCGGCUGUCGCUGUGGUCGCUCACCGCUGUCACCUGUACGGUGUGGCUGGCGGCCUACGGGCUCUUCACCCUGUGCGAGAAUAGCAUGAUCCUCUCUGCCGCCAUCUUCAUCACUAUCUUAGGCCUGCUUGGUUACCUCCACUUUGUGAAGAUUGAUCAGGAGACUCUAUUAAUCAUCGACUCACUUGGCAUCCAGAUGACUUCGUCCUAUGCAUCGGGCAAAGAAAGUACCACCUUCAUAGAGAUGAACAAGGUCAAGGAUAUUAUCAUUAAUGAGGCUAUUUACAUGCAGAAGGUCAUUUACUACCUCUGCAUUUUACUGAAGGAUCCAGGGAAACCACAUGAGAUAUCCCAAGUAGUGCCUGUCUUCCAGGAGAAGCACUGGCAAGCCCGUAAAGGAACACAGGUCAGUGAAGAUAAACAAUGAGUGAUAACUCAACUGUGGACCAGGGUCUGGUCAGAAAUGGACAAGGAGACAGUGAGGAGGAGGGGGCUGCAGACUGGACCGAUGGGCUUAUGACCAGACAGAGGGGAGAGAAACUCCAGGGAAAACAGCAUCUGAGGGUCUGGGUAAUUCCUUUUCCUGUCACUCACCUGAGCAGCAAAGAGCUUAGCACCAAAGAGAGGCCAUUUCCGAGCCACAGUCAGGUAGAUGCGGAUGCACUCAGGAGGGGAGCAGCCUUGUAAUGCUGCCCACUUGGUGGCCAUCAUGUCUGCCAAGUGCCUGUAGAAAGACAUGCUAGUGAAGUGCCUGCCUGUUUUCAUUACAGCUCCCAGGCUUCCCCACAGGUUUCCUCCAGCCCACCUCAGCUGCUCAGGGGGUGCUCCAUUUCGAUAGUGCCUUGGGUAAAACCUGUCAAGGACCUGCUGGAGGAGAUGCUGGGCUUUGGCCGGAGGUGUACCCCCAGGGCCUGGCAGCGUAGGUUUCUCCAAGUCCCCAUACUCCACCUGAGGUGGAAAGAGAUAGCAGUCGUGAGUCUGGGUGGUUGUGCUGUUCGAGAAGUGGACAAGCCCCUUACCGAAUCACUGCCUUAUCAGAUAACAAUGGCAAGAAUUAACCCCAUGUUUCAUAGACAUUAGAGAACCAUCCUGAAGGUCCUAGAAGAUGGAAGGGCUUACAGACUGGAGGACAGAAGAGGGCUUGGUGUCACCGGCUCAGGCAUCAGCCCCUUGAACUUUGUUCAAGUUAUUUAAACUCUGAAUGUCAACCCUGUCCUAAGUGGGGAUGGAAAGUACGCAGAUACAUCUGGAAUGCUGCUUGUGACUUGCUGCAGACAAUUCACACUGAUGACUAUAACUAUGAAGACCACCGUGCAGCCCAGGCUGGCCUGCCACCCGGACUGGCCUUGAACUUGUGCCAACUCUGCCUUAGCUCUCCAAAUGCUGAGAUUAUAGGUGUGUGCCACCACACCUGACUGCAUCUGUAGGAGCCAUGGAUACCCCUGGCAGAGAGCCUUCUAUAUGAAAGACGAAGGGGAGCCAUUCAAAUGCAUGCCCAUGCACAUACCCUGGAUGGCGGCAGGAAGGGAGUUGUGUUCUUCAAAUACACAGAAAUAAACUGAAGCACCAAAGCAACUUGACCAAGUUCUCAUAUUGGAGGGAGGCCGGGACAUAAGCCCAGGCUUUCAGUUCCCUGUUGUCUCCCCUGCACACAGCAUCCAUGUGCAGUGAGUAAGGAGGUCACUGCCUCCGUACAACAGAGCCCCUCCCUGCUGCCCCAGGAUCUGCAGUCUUCCAUCAGGUUUCAUGGUGUUUUCAACAGGAAGAAACCUACCUGUGCCAUCAAGGCAGCCAUUUCGAGGGCCAGUUCCUUGGUGACUGGAAAUCUUCCUGCCACUAUUUCGCCACUGGUUUGGAAGGCAAGUAGCAGCCGCUCUCUCUCUGUCUCCCCUUUUACUUGACUUCGAAAGUAUAGCCUAUAGUGAAGACAGUGAAAAACCAGAUCUCAGCUGGCACCCUGAACAAAAAUAAGGCUUUCCCUGACUCUUUCUCUUGACCCCUCAAGUGAGGAUAACUGUUUACACCAUUUGUAAGCCUCUUUUCUACUACCCACGAAAUUUGUAGCCAAGCCUAACCUAGAUGUGGGCAUGCAGGUCUCACGCAGAGGAACAGAUGGUUAGUCCUGAACACACCACCACUACACAUGGACUUUGCAUGAAGAUUAUGGUACCUCUACACAGUUUAUUAGAGGUCUGGAUGAACUAAGACUCCCAAGAGACUAAUGGAAAAUAUUUGCCUAGAGGCAUACUGGGACAAAUGUCUCUUACUUAAAUUGGUAGAAAGUACCUGUGUGUGUCCUGAAGUUGAUAUACGGGAAAUUUUUAUUCCUUAGCUUUAAAUAUUUCGUGCUUAUUCAAAUCUGUACUCUCAGAGGGUAAUGUACAGCAUCCCCUGGCCUCAGUAUGCUUUUGUGGCACGUAUGCAUACAUACCCGUGUGCACAUGGCAGUCUAGAGAGUGCCAACAGAACACCUGUACUGUCACCAUCUCCUGAGGGAGCGAUCAGAAGCCCUCAUGCCCACCCCACCCUCAGCAGCUCUCAGGACCUGUUCUUGUACAUCAGCUUCACAACUCGUGUCCCACCCUCAGACUUUCCGGGAUGCAGCUCCUUCAGCGUUUGCUCCCACUUGGAGAUGGCAUCGCAGAUCUUAAAGAGGAAAAGAGGAGUGUCAGCAAGGCCCCGGGGCUGGGGUGGGGAUGAGGUCCGGCCAAGCCGAGUGACGCUCUGCUUUAGACGGCUGCCCUGUGAGGUCUCAGGCUGCAAGGAUGGGAAGUGCCUACCAAUUCCCUUUCAGAUAAGGAGCUGGAGAGCACCAUGGAUGUAGUUAGCACUGCAAGAAAUGAUCACUGCCAAACUGGCUUUGUGAAGACUAGCAUCUGAGGGACCAGACUAGGCAGGCCCCAGUCAAAGUCCAUGGCAUCGUGGCUCCAUUUUUAUUUCACUCACCACAUUCCCCUUUCAAUAAAUACACCCAAAGCCUGCUCUGACCAAAGCCUUACAGAUACCCAUACAUUUACUAGGAGGGUAUGUGGCAGUUUUUCCAUGCACUGUUAAAGACUAGCCCUUUGUUCCAGGAUAAGGAAGAAAGCAGAUGCUGGAGCCAGAUGCGCCCAUCCAUUCCUACAAACACUUAACACCCCAGACCACUGAACAGACCAACCGAGGACCCCGCCCCAAACUCAGCAUCCAUGAGCAUCUGUCUGUAAGCAUGGGCAGACAGAGGAAAAGCUAGGUGAUAGUCCCACCCCCUGGUUGUCAGCACAGCUGCUGACCUAAGAGGGCAGACAGCAUGGGGACAAGCUUGGCCGAGCUCCCUCAUCUUUACCCUGGGCUAAGAGGCUCUGCCCCGGAUGCUGCACAGUCCUGUGAGGGAGACAGGACUGUGAGGAUUUGUCUCCAGGGUCGAGGCCUGCAUAGAUAAUACAUUUUAGGAUGUCACUGAAAUGUUGGCCUGGAGAUAGCAUCUUGGUUUCAGUGCCACUCAGGGCUCUGAAGAGUUAGGCGCGCACACGGGACGGGCUCUGACCCACCACCUGUAUCUCUGAGCUAAGAGGAAGAGUGGGACGUUUACCUUGACACGCCCUUGGAGACAGUGCUCCAGGUCCCUGCCCGAAGGAUCAUCUGUGAAGAGGGCAAAGCCAGACUGGGAUGGCUUUCUCAUGCCUGUCUCCUGGUUCAGCCGCUGGAGGAACUCAUCAACUGUGGAGGAGCCAUCAAAACCAACCACCUGGGGAUGGGGAGAGGAACCCUGAACCAGCAAACCUCCUGAGGAACUGUCACAGGGGAUCACGGAAGGGUCUGAACACAGCGUGGAGAGGUACAAGGGUGGGGGCAAGAUGUCAAAGCCACAUCCCAUUCAGAAGAACCUGAGCCUGCCCACUAAACUGGAACCGGACAGAGGCCUAGUUACUCUUUUGUAGUCAGUAUUCUGGGAGUUUUAUCUCAGGCUUUUCUGGUCCAAUGUCUCAGCUUCCCUGUUCCCAUGAUGGGUUCAGGAGACCUAACUGCAAGGCACCAAGUAGUUCCAUACUUUGGAUUCAAACUCGUUUCUCCUUUCACACACUAUACUACGAAUGCCAUUCCCACCUCGAAUCUAGGCUAAAUCUGAAAGCCUACAAGGUUUAGCAGCAGCCAGAAGUGUUCUCUGGACAGUGAUAUGGACAGACCUGGGACAGGCACGUGCUCAACCUCCUACCUGGUAAGUCCCAUUGGCAAAGUGCACAGGGAUGCUGAAGGGCAAGGAGUGAUGGAAGGGGUUCCGAAGCAAGAUGGACACCACUUCCAUCCGCGAUGGUCUGGCCUCCCGUUCUCCUGUCUGCAGGGUUCGCUCCACGGCUCGCUGGCAGUAUAUGGCAUACUGACCAGUUUCACUUCUGAAAACAGAAGGAAAUAUUGGGAAUUCCUUCCUCUUGGCACCCUGUGGUAUAUACCACACCGAGCCAGGAUAAAAGCUAACUGGACUGGUUGUGUGGACCUGAAAACUAGCAUGGGAUGUCAUUACAUUUUUAUUUGGGGAGGGAGUACACUUGUGGAGGUUAGAGGAUAACUUGUGGGAGCUGUUCUCUCCUACCGUGUGGGUCCUGGGAGUCGUCAGCCUUGGCAGCAAAUCUCCUUUACCUACUGAGCCCCCUCACCUGGUGCAUUUGUCACUGUGGACCUAUUAUUCGCAGCACAUGGCUGCCAUGGCUGGCUGGCUGGCUGGCUGGCUGGCUGGCUGGCUUCCUUCCUUCCUUCCUUCCUUCCUUCCUUCCUUCCUUCCUUCCUUUCCUUCUUGCAGGAUAUUUGAUCACAUUGUGAACCCCAAGAUUGUGCUAUUUACUGUAAAGCCUUGUUUCUAGUGGUGGCUUAGCCCUUAGCACCAGCCUUUAAUCCUUCUUGAUGGAAUAUAGGCACACCCUUUGCACACACCUUUAAUCGCAAACAAUGAAGGUAAAGUUAAUUUGUAUAAGGAAGCACCCAGGCUUGAAAGUGAUGUCUAACUGAGUGGCAGACAUGACACAUCAGAAUAGGAUAUGCCCAGCUCUCAGGAGAAGAGAGAGGAAAGAGAAGCCACUGGAGAGAGCAGUGCAGAGAGGAAGAGGAGGAGGCGAUUUUACAGGGAGUUUCACAGAGACAGGUUGCAGUGAGAGAACAAGCUAGACACGGGUGAAGACAGAAUGAGCCAGAGAACGAGAAGGAGCCAGAGGACUAGAACGUAUUCCCAAAGUCAAGCAAUUCAGGAGAGGCAGGGAGAGAGAAGCCAGACUGAAUCAGUCAGCUUGGAGAGGAGUUAGAGCCAGAAUGGCCAAUGUGAACCAACCAGCCAGAGCUCAGAAGGAGCUAGGAAGGGGUGAGUGUAUUCUGUAGCAACUUUCAGAGGCUGAAAACAUUCCAGGCCUAGAAAAGAUGGCAAGGAGGCUAGAAGCUUCCAGGACUAGGCCUAGGUUAGCUGACAGAGGCAGCAAGCCUGGGAGAUGACAGUCACUUCAGGCAAAUAAAAGAUACUAUUACCUUUCCUCCCUCCCUCCACCCCUUCUUAAAACCUAUACUAGGGAUCUAAGCCAGGGCCUGGUGUCUGCCCUAGCUGAGCUCUUCCCUACCCCUAUACUCGGGUAUUUUCUUACAGCCAGAAGAAGAGGAAAUAAACAUUUGGGGAUAAUGUGGGAUAGCAUGGCCAUUCCAUGAGAAUGUCCCCCAAAUACCCAAGCACACAGAGAUUGGUGUUCAAAGCUAAAGUCUCCACCUGCUCAGGUGUACACAGUGAGUCUCUCAACCCUGAGCAGCUCUGAGGGGAGAUGCAGUUAGUUCAACCUCUUCCUCCCCCUCAUCCCUUUGAAUCAUGCCUGUCAAUAGUGUGGUAGUGACAGAGAGAAUGCUCUCACUCACCUGGGAUCUGCAUGGCGUUGAAGCUGCUGUUUGACAUACCAGAGGAAGUGGUGCUGAGGCAGGAAGAGUGGGGCACACAGAGCCAGGAGCUGCCAGCACUGCCAUGGAACAGGCAGUGUGGUCAGUGGUGGGUUCCUGCCAUUGCAGUUUUGAGCUACAGAACCUACACUGUUUUCCCCCAACCAGAACCUCAACCCCCCUGACAGGCACUGGGAUAGCUGCCUUGGCCAGGCAUUGCCCAGAAUGGUAGUCACACUGUGAGCACGCACACAUCAGGCAACCAUGCUCAAGCAACUUGCUGCACAGAAGCUGCCCACUGUUUAGGACGGGAGAACACCUGCCCAGGCACCUGCUCCCUCCUUCUCUACCCCCUAACCAGCUCUUACAAAUGGCUCCAGCCAGUUAAAUCCCAGCGCAUGCUCACCUGCAUGAGAGAGUACUUCUGAGGUGGGCGGCGACUGAUCUGCUUCAUGAGCUGGCAGUAGAUCUCACUCUGUAGCUCGGGGUGAACGAGGCAGACCUGCAGUGCUGUCUGAGCCAGCGACACGUGGUAGUCCACCGAGGCGGCUUCCACUGGCACAUUGAUGAAGAGCUGGCAGGACUGGAAGGAGGGUGGCGGUGGGUUAUUCUUGUGACAUGCAAUGGUACUUCAGAGCCUCAAGACUCGAGUUCACUAAUGACCAGCCUUCUCCAGAGGGAGCGACUGUUUCUGCAUGUGAGGCUGAAAGGGGCUACUUACUGUAGGGUCAGAAUUACAUACACCUUCUUUAAAUGCUUCUAUUACAUAAGUUUGCCAUUACCAGACAGGGUAGCACAAUGUAGCUCAGACUGGCAUUUAACUCCAAGUCCUGCCUCUGCCUCCUGGGAUGGAUUUUGAGCAUUUAGCACCACACUAGCCCCUUAGCAAAUUCUUUUUUUUUUUUAGGCCAGAAUAUGCGAAUGGACACAGAGACUGUAAACUAGGUCAGGUCUCUGGUGUCCAGAGUAGUGCAAACUGGCCCUUCUAUUGUUACUUGAGGUUGGUGGCAGCUCCUCAAGGGAGAGCUUUUGCUGGUAAUUCCUAGAGCCCCAGAGCUUCUUCCUGGGUUGCAGAAGGGUUAUGUUCCUGCCGUAAAGGAGCCAUAAAGGGAACCAUGUGGGACUUUCUCUUCCUCCCCACAACCCUGGGGCCACCCUGUAAGCAGAGUUCUCCUGUGCUGUGAUGGGGUCAAGUUGUGCCAGGCUGAGCUUGGGCACCCAAAUCACCAGGCUCCACUCCCAUAUUACCUUGAAGAGCUUGAGGGCCUCCGUCUGUAGAGCCUCGGAGGGCAGCGUGGUGAGGGAAGCACACAGCCCUUCUUGACUGUAGCACAGCAUGGGGUGCCUCCAGAGCGGGGAGUCUGCACAAAGCAUGGACCAGAGAGCAAUGCAAUCACUACAGGGAAAACUCACCUCCUACCUACCAGUCCCAGCUCAGACUUGCAGGGAAGACUGUGGCUUAAUGCUAUGGGAAACGUGGGUUUUGCUGGGUUGAUCAUCUACAGGCUGGAGGCCAUGUCAGUGUUUUGCAAGUUGCACACUCCCAUACAGCUAAGGAGGAAGGCGGCCAAAGCACUGCCGAGGAGCCGCAAAGGUUAAGUGAACACAGCUGUGAGUACACACACGCAGGGACAGCCUUCCCUCCAGUUUCAGGCUGGAGGAACAGAUGCGUCAGCCUGAAACACACCUACCCUGAGAGCAGUAGAAAAGACACCUCAGGUUGGUCCACGAGGACCCUGAGGAUUAGUAGCAAAAUAAGGACUCCCAACAUCCCAGGCUUGGGUUGGUCUGAUCCAAAUUGAAGCUUCACUUAUUAACAAACUCAACUGUAGAUUAACCAGCUGCCUCCCACUCGACCCCCUACCCCCAUGUCUUCUGCAUAGCUAGCAAAGCUACCGAUUAAACAGAGUAAACAUUCACCUAGGCUUCUGGGAAGUCUGUUUCCCAGACAGACUCCCUCACGCACAGUGGUUUCCUCAGUGUUGUGACCAGACAUGGAGAGAGCAACACUGGAGCGUGCGAUGGGACUUCCCUCAGGCACGCUCAGCGCAGCUUAUGUGUAACAGUGCUCUCUGCUUCUCUUCCGAUUAGAGCCCUGCCAGGUCCCUGCUGCCCAGGCACCGAUGGCCACUCCUUCUUUCCUUACCUGGGUUGCCCUCACCGUCCAUCAGUUUCCCAAUGAGCUGCUCAUAGACAGUGCCCACCUUGGCACUGCUGCCACCUGCAGCCACUGUGAGGUGGUAAAGCCAUGUGUCCUGGGAGAUGACAGAAAACACUCAGAUGUAAUGUGGUAGGAGGAGGGCUUUGGGGCAGGGGAUGCAGCUCAGAAACAGAACACUCGUCUAACGUGUAAGGCUCUGGGUUUGAUUCUCAGGCUAUGUGAGACCCUGUCUUGGGGCGUGGGUGUGUUGGGGGAGGCGGGCUUUCAUUAGUUUGGCUGGCAUUAAGUCAAGAUCACCCCUCCAAAGAGAGAGACAGGAUCAGGUAAACCCAAGUUUCAAAGUAGAAGCUCUGUCAUGGUGCAUGAUGAAGAGACGGAUGCCGGGAGGAAAUAGAACUUGAAUUUGGAAAGCUCAGGGGAGAGAAGGGGAGUCAGAACACAGGUCAAGCUCCUCCCUUACCUUUUCAUGCUUGGUGCCUAUGAGGAGGUAGGUGGGGCUGUGCUCUGGUGGGUGGAUCACCAGUGUGCAGUGAGAGGACAGCAAGCGUCCAGUUCCUCCAGCCUCAUAGUCUUCGUCUGAGUCGCAGGAUCGAUCUACUUCCUCUAUAUGAGCGUCCCGAACAGGUAGGCAGCCCAGGGGUCUCUGUGGACAUGAGCCUUCCAUGAAUAGGAAAACAGAUGGAGAAGGAAGUCUCCUUUUCGAAUGCUUAGGCUGUGUGGGGCUGGAGAUCAUACAUGUGGACAGAAGGCAGUUAGGUGAGGAGACAGAAGAGGCAGCAUGGCAGAAGACUGCUUUAGAAAGUCCAGCGGACUACAUGGCCAUGAUGCUGGCCGUGUGCCCGGGAGGGAGCUGGACAGCCAGUCUUUGCAUUUGCUGAAGGUAAGCUGGGGACUGUGUCAGUGACAUGCAGCUAUGCAGCUUGGAGGUGGCACUGUUAGGAAGCUCAUACCUUGUCCUCGUGGCUCCGGUAGUAGUAGAAGGUUUUCCCAACAAGGGCACACCAGACCAGCUUGGAGUGGCCAUGCUUUACCUGUAAGUAAAGUGACUUCUCUAGACCAGGGCUGGCCAAGACAGGCCAAGGGAAGGUUGCCAAAAUCAGGUCUCCUCUCACAGUGAAACUGCUACAUUACGUAACCCAGCCACUGCCACUGUCGGGCCACCCAGGACCUAUGACCGGCCAGUGAAAGAUUAUCCUGGAAAUCAGAAUAUUCUAGCUGGCAGAGGCAGAGUUGUAAGGAUGCCUCGCAAGGUAAAAAAAGGGCCCCUGGUGGUGUGAAUCACCAGGGAACAGCAACUGCGCUCUCACACAGAAGAACGGAAGAACGGAAGAACGGCAGACUGACUCAUGGGAAGCAGAGGCUCAGGAAAGUCUGAGCAAGCGCCUGCUGGCUGAGCUCAGCCACUGUCCCUAAGUGUUCAGCCUGUUAAUGCGCUCCCUAGUUAACUCCCCUUUCAUCCCGACACAGCUAGUUAUACUGUGGGGGGCCACGACUAAUGUCCUAAACAUUUAGUAAAAACAUUUCUUUUCCUUCCGUCUUGAGAGUAAGUGUUCUGAUAGCCCCCAUCUCUGUUUCCAGAAUCACCACCAUUAUUUUGUAUGUUCAAAUCAUAUUUGGGGGCCAACCCACUAAGCACUGGGAUGUAGUUCUUAGAGAAUGGAGCCUACCAUCUCUGGGCACUCCCAUAUCGGGCUCUUAUUACCUCCCUCCUAGUUCCACUUGUACCUUCGUCAGCCAGCCCUUCACAGUAGGCUUGGUGCCCCCUUGAUGCAGGGCUGGAGGGCCAGUGACCUGCACCUUCAGCAGGCUCUGUAGGACCCGGAUCCAUUCUUCCAGGAGGCUGGGGGACUCUGCUGUUAGGUAGUAGAUUUUGUUUCCAGAGAUGAGCUGUGGGUGUGGGUUGGGGGUAGGGGUUAAAGCUAGCAACAGUCUGAAGGCACAGAUCCUUCGACAUGCUGGCCUCCCCACUGACCACCUGUUCUCUCCCCUUCCUAUCGUCCCUGACUUUCUUCCCUUCCUUUUAUCUCUCAUUCUGUCUCUUCUUUCUCAUGCUCACAACCUAAGAGUACAUCCUUCUCGUGGUGUGACAUCAUCCACUCAUGUUUUGUUUGGCCUCAUCUUUGCCUCAGUCACAGCCAUACCUGAGCCCAACACCAUGCAGUCUAUGCUGCUACAAGCAGGCUCACCUGAAAUGUCUGUGCUUCUUCCCCUCGGACAAUCUGGCAAUGAGAGUUCAGAUCCACUUGACCUUGAGGUUUCCGAAUGACGUCAUUCUGUGAAAGGAAGGAGUAAAGAGGAGAGCAUUGGAGUUGGAGGCUUCUCAGAUCACCAUUUCUUACUCCAGGUCACAGGCUUGAAGGAAAAAGAGAGUCCCACGCUAUGGUACAAUGAGUGACUUGUUCUAGAUUUUUAUUCUAGCAAAAUAAAACCAUAAUUAGGAACAUGAAACCCUCUAACGUAGGCCUUAAAGGAUCUCAAAAAGCAGACUUUAAAAUGGGAUCAGAAACCCAUCUAUAAAGUCCUCCUAGUCCUUUGACCAAAAUAUGUGCAGUGACACGUCCCUAGUCGCAGCUCUUUAGUGGGCCGCGGCAAGAGGCUUAGUCAAAGGACGCAUACAUCACUAUUAUCCAGGAUUAUUAGACAUUACUAAUUGAUAGUGGCAUGUUUCUCACCGAGGUAUAUAGGCUCAGAAUCCUUAAUGUGGGCAUGCUAGAAACAAUGUCUACUAAGCAAUCAGUUUCUCGAGAGACAGAUCCUUUUUUCCUCUUUAUUAAAACAUUAUGAUUGGGUCUGCCAACCUGUUCUCAAUAUCCAAGGCUCCUCAAUUCCAGACCGUGGAGGAAGAAGGGGAAACAAUGAACUUUUCUGUUAGAACAAUCCAGAAGAGGUAAGGGCAGCCUGGGAACAACCUUUUACAAGGCUAGGCAUACGAGGAAAUCAGUUCUGAAGGAAGAGGAAAUCCCUAACCAGCUGGCCUAGGACUGCUUUGAUAGUCCUUCAGCUCAUUUUGAGAACAGGUGACUACCUCAGAGUCUCCUGUGUGGCUCGGCACCUGCAAAGGCCAGUCAGGCCGUCAAGUCUUCUACCUGCCAGGCCUCAAGCCACACUGCCUUCCCUUUAGUCCCUUAUACGGUUCUGGGUCUGGGCUGUGCUUGUGUGGUUCCGUGGUCAUGGUCCUGAGGGGGGACUCACCGGAGACUUGUAGUAUAGAAUUUGUCCCUGUCUCAGGACAAACCAGCGCCUCUUCCAGGUCUUCACCCGGCUCCCCAUUUUCAGCAGGUAGCCUGACUUUUCCAGUGUCUCCUGAAGUAGAAAGCAAGAAGAGAAGAGGGGACAAAAGGGAGUCGCAUGAGGCUCCUGAGCGGUUAAAGGCAAGGAGGAGAGGGGGCAAACGGGAAGAAGUCGGAUGAGGACCCUGAGGAGAAAAAGACAAGGAGGGAAAGGGGAAAGUCACAGAAGGCUGCCGACACCACUCAAGACAAAAUGGUCUAGGCCACCUCUGUCAUUGUGUGUCUAAUGAGUAUUUCCAGGCGCCGUGCUCCUGUGAGAUCCAGAGAGAACUGAAUAAAUAAGGUAAGGCAGUACUACCGUGAGAUCUCAGUGAGGACUGGGGAAGACCACCCAGUCGCCGUGAGAUGGUGGCACACCAGGGGCUGUCAGCAGCAGAGAAGCUGGCCAGAGAAGCUGGCUUCAGGGAAGAGUAGCAUCCCACCUCACCUACGUCAAUGAGGUUCCAACCCUCCUAGUGCUGGGACCUUUCAAUACAGCUCAUGCUGUGCUGGCCCCAAACCAUACAAUUAUUUUUGUUGCUACUUUAUAACCAUAGUUUUGCUACUGUUGUGAAUUGUAAAAUCCCUGAUAUUCAGGAUGUCUGAUAUGUAAUCCCUGUGAAAGGGUUGCUUGACUCCCAUGGGGUUGAGACCCACAAGUUGAGAAGAAUCACUGCUCUAACUGAAAGGCUAGUCCUCACAGACCAGCAGAGAGGAGGAAGGCCAUUUGAGGCAUCAGAGAUGGGAGAAAGCAGGCAGGUCUCUAGCCACAGGCACAUCCAUAAAACACAGCAGGAACCAUGACGACCAUGAGGCAGAGAAGACAGGAGGGCCUGAGGCAGCCACCUGACUGCUGAACCUUAACUGUUAGCUCAUGCCAGCACCUGAGGGUCAGGAUGGAGAUUAAAGAGGGUAACAGGUGCAAACCGUCAUGGGUUUUGAGAAAUUCCUGGGCUUGAACUCUGUCUUUCUUCAUCUUGGAGUUUGUGCACAGCUGUCUCUGAAACCCACUCGAGCCUCCUUCUCCCUACUUUCUCUGGGUUCUUCCCCUCGCUCUCUGCUGCCUUCAUGGGCACUGAGGCCCAGGCAACCUCUGCUCAGGCUCACCCCUCCUAGCGCCCUUCCCCAUCCCACACAUGUACUGUGCUCACCCCCUCCCCACCCCACACAUGUACUGUCACAUGCUCACUCCCUCCCCAUCCCACACAUGUACUGAGCUCACCCCCUCCCCACCCACACAUGUACUGUGCUCACCCCCUCCCCACCCCACACAUGUACUGUGCUCACCCCUCCCCACCCCACACAUGUACUGUGCUCACCCCUUCCCCACCCCACACAUGUACUGUCACAUGCUCACCCCCUCCCCACCCCACACAUGUACUGUGCUCACCCCUUCCCCACCCCACACAUGUACUGUGCUCACCCCCUCCCCACCCACACAUGUACUGUGCUCACCCCCUCCCCAUCCCACACAUGUACUGUGCUCACCCCCUCCCCACCCACACAUGUACUGUGCUCACCCCCUCCCCAUCCCACACAUGUACUGUGCUCACCCCCUCCCCACCCCACACAUGUACUGUGCUCACCCCCUCCCCACCCACACAUGUACUGUGCUCACCCCCUCCCCAUCCCACACAUGUACUGUGCUCACCCCCUCCCCAUCCCACACAUGUACUGUGCUCACCCCCUCCCCCCCACACGUGUACUGUGCUCACCCCGUCAGUGGAGUACGCUGAAGUGCGCUGGAGUUUGUGCUCAGGUUCUGAGUAGUCACUGUCCAGGGAGCAGGCAUCAGGAGGGAUGGCAUAGUCCCCCUCGGAGCUCAGUGAGGACAUGGAGACCCCUAGCCAGAGGAAAAGGAGUCAGGAAUCAAAGCUGGGAUCCCACACCCCUUCCACCCAGGGCCAGAGAUGCAAGGCCUUCAUUACCCACUGGGAUCCCAAGUCUGGAACUGAGGGUUAAACUGUUAGAGACCCCAGGCAGAGAACAGGCAAGAAAAACGGAGUCCCUCCCCUUCUCUGUACCUCUCUUGAUGGCCCGGGGGCUGCCUAGUCCACUGGUCUUCCUAUACUCAGAGCAAGGGACUGACAUCCGGAAACUCGCUUGAGAGCCGCAGUCAUCAUCGGACCCAGAGGACUCAUCCACAAAAGGCACGUUGCUGAUCUGUGUGGCUUUCUGCAAGAGAGGAGCCUCCCCAACUACAGCUUCGAAACAAGCCCUCUUCCACACAACAGCUGUAUCUACUUUGGCAGUCCUCCAUGCCUGCUGCACCCAGGGAACGGGGGCCAGGCCCAUAAGGAGAUCUGUAGGCCUCCACACACCACUUGUACUCACCGAAACAGGAAGCAGUAUUUCGGGACGACACAUCUGACAGCUGCAUGCCUGAUGUGGCCAUCGCAUAGAUCCUGCGCUCCUGAAAGAAAAAGUCCCAGAUGGUCAGGGACUAUGCUCACCUCAGCCCUUCCAAGAAAGUGGAGGGAAGACAUGACUUGGGUGGUAGGCAGAACUGGGUUCACCACUCCCGAAGAGCUGGUUACUGGCUAAGGUAUUUUAAACAAAUGUCUUCAUUUCUAAGCCUUAAUUUCUCAGCUCUAAAAUACUACUGAGUUUUUAAGAGCCUGCUAAAACUCUUAAAAUUAAGUCAUUAAUGUAUAAUAUAAUGCAUAAAUACAAAUAAAUGUGUAAUAUAAGCAGGA